UACGUAGGUGGCAAGCGUUGUCCGGAUUUACUGGGCGUAAAGGGCGUGCAGGCGGUUUGUCUAGUCUAGGGUGAAAGCUCCCGGCUUAACUGGGAGAGGUCCUUGGAUACUGGCAAACUUGAGGGAGGCAGAGGAAAGUGGAAUUCCCGGUGUAGUGGUGAUAUGCGUAGAUAUCGGGGGGAACACCAGUGGCGAAGGCGGCUUUCUGGGCCUUACCUGACGCUGAGACGCGAAAGCGUGGGGAGCGAACCGG
rnacentral:rRNA from 1 species